rnacentral:lncRNA from 1 species
AAUAUAUUAAAAUAAAAAUCUUAAUAAAAUAUUAACAUAAUUUUUAAAAUUAAAUCCUAAUCAAAUCUUAACCAAACUCUAAAUAAAUCCUAGUCAAAUCCUAAGUAAAUCCUAAUCAAACCCUAAUCAAAUCCUAAUCAAAUCCUACUCAAAUCCUAAUCAAAUUCUAACCAAAUCCUAAUCAAAUUCUAAUUAAAUCCUAACCAAAUUCUAAUCAAAUCUCAACCAAAUCCUAAUCAAAUCUUAUUUAAAUCCUAAUCAAAUCCUAAUAAAAUCUUAACCAUAUUUUAACCAAAUCCUAGUCAAUCCUAACCAAAUCCUAAUCAAAUUCUAAUUAAAUCCUAACCAAACUUUAAUAAAAUCUUAACCAAACUCUAAUCAAAUUCUACUUAAAUCCUAAUCAAAUCCUAACAAAAUCCUAACCACAUCUUAAUCAAAUCCUAGUCAAUCCUAAACAAAUCCUAAUCAAAUUCUAAACAAAUUCUAACUAAAUCUUAACCAAAUCCUAAUCAAAUCCUAAUCAAAUUCUAAACAAAUUCUAACUAAACCCUAACCAAAUCCUAACCAAAUUUUAAUCAAAUCUUAACCAAAUUUUAAUCAAAUCCUACUCAAAUUCUAAUCAAAUCCUAAUCAAAUUCUAACCAAAUCUUAGUCAAUCACAAAUAAUUUCUAUUCAAAUUCUAAAAAAAUCCUAAUCAAAUCUUAAACAAAUCCUAAUCAAAUCCUAACCAAAAUCUAACCAAAUUUUAAUAAAAUCCUAACCAAAUCCUAACCAAUUCCUACUCAAUCCUAAAUAAAUUCUAAUCCAAUUCUAAAUAAAUCCUAAUCAAAUCCUAAUCAAAACCUAAACAAACUUUAAUCAAAUUCUAAUCAAAUCCUAAACAUA